AUUGAACGCUGGCGGCAUGCCUUACACAUGCAAGUCGAACGGCAGCACGGGUGCUUGCACCUGGUGGCGAGUGGCGAACGGGUGAGUAAUACAUCGGAACAUGUCCUGUAGUGGGGGAUAGCCCGGCGAAAGCCGGAUUAAUACCGCAUACGAUCUACGGAUGAAAGCGGGGGACCUUCGGGCCUCGCGCUAUAGGGUUGGCCGAUGGCUGAUUAGCUAGUUGGUGGGGUAAAGGCCUACCAAGGCGACGAUCAGUAGCUGGUCUGAGAGGACGACCAGCCACACUGGGACUGAGACACGGCCCAGACUCCUACGGGAGGCAGCAGUGGGGAAUUUUGGACAAAGGGCGAAAGCCUGAUCCAGCAAUGCCGCGUGUGUGAAGAAGGCCUUCGGGUUGUAAAGCACUUUUGUCCGGAAAGAAAUCCUUGGCCCUAAUACGGUCGGGGGAUGACGGUACCGGAAGAAUAAGCACCGGCUAACUAUGUG
rnacentral:rRNA from 1 species